rnacentral:rRNA from 1 species
GAUGAACGCUAGCGAUAGGCCUAACACAUGCAAGUCGAGGGGCAGCAUAGAGUAGCAAUACUUUGAUGGCGACCGGCGCACGGGUGAGUAACACGUAUGCAACCUACCUACAUCAGGGGAAUAACCCGGAGAAAUUCGGACUAAUACCGCAUAAUACAGGGAUGCCGCAUGGCAAUAUUUGUUAAAGAUUUAUCGGAUGUAGAUGGGCAUGCGUUCCAUUAGCUAGUUGGUAAGGUAACGGCUUACCAAGGCAACGAUGGAUAGGGGAACUGAGAGGUUUGUCCCCCACACGGGGACUGAGACACGGACCAGACUCCUACGGGAGGCAGCAGUGAGGAAUAUUAGUCAAUGGACGAGAGUCUGAACCAGCCAAAUCGCGUGAAGGAAGACUGCCCUACGGGUUGGAAACUUCUUUUGUACAGGAAUAAAAGACAUUACGUGUAAUGUAUUGCAUGUACUGUACGAAUAAGCAUCGGCUAACUCCGUGCCAGCCGCCGCAGUAA